CCUACGGGUGGCUGCAGUGAGGAAUAUUGGUCAAUGGCCGGGAGCCUGAACCAGCCAAGUCGCGUGAAGGAUGACUGUCCCAAGCGUUGUAAACUUCUUUUAUCAAGGAACAAAGUCAGGCUCGAGUGCCUUACCGAAUGUACUUUAUGAAAAAGCAUCGGCUAACUCCGUGCCAGCAGCCGCGGUAAUACGGAGGAUGCGAGCGUUAUCCGGAUUUAUUGGGUUUAAAGGGUGCGUAGGCGGACUGUCAAGUCAGCGGUAAAAGUUCGGGGCUCAACCCCGUCGUGCCGUUGAAACUGAUGUUCUUGAGAGGGCGAGAGGUAUGCGGAAGGCGUGGUGUAGCGGUGAAAUGCAUAGAUAUCGCGCAGAACUCCGAUUGCGAAGGCAGCAUACCGGCGGCGAACUGACGCUGAAGCACGAAAGCGUGGGUAUCGAACAGGAUUAGAUACCCCUGUAGUC
rnacentral:rRNA from 1 species